ACGAACGCUGGCGGCGUGCUUAACACCUGCAAGUCGAACGAAAAGAGGGAAAGAGCUUGCUCUUUCCGGAAUUGAGUGGCAAACGGGUGAGUAACACGUAAACAACCUGCCUUCAGGAUGGGGACAACAGACGGAAACGACUGCUAAUACCGAAUAAGUUCCAAGGGCCGCAUGGCCCAUGGAAGAAAAGGUGGCCUCUACCUGUAAGCUAUCGCCUGAAGAGGGGUUUGCGUCUGAUUGGCUGGUUGGAGGGGUAACGGCCCACCAAGGCGACGAUCAGUAGCCGGUCUGAGAGGAUGAACGGCCAAACUGGAACUGAGACACGGUCCAGACUCCUACGGGAGGCAGCAGUGGGGAAUCUUCCGCAAUGGGCGAAAGCCUGACGGAGCAACGCCGCGUGAGUGAUGACGGCCUUCGGGUUGUAAAACUCUGUGAUCCGGGACGAAAAGGCAGAGUGCGAAGAACAAACUGCAUUGACGGUACCGGAAAAGCAAGCCACGGCUAACUACGUG
rnacentral:rRNA from 1 species